GAUGAAGAACGUAGCGAAAUGCGAUACUUGGUGUGAAUUGCAGAAUCCCGUGAACCAUCGAGUUUUUGAACGCAAGUUGCGCCCGAAGCCAUUCGGCCGAGGGCACGUCUGCCUGGGUGUCACGCAUCGUUGCCCCCCCAAACUCCGGUUCGGGCGGGGCGGAAGUUGGCCUCCCGUGCGUGCCUGCGCGCGCGGUUAGCCCAAAAGCGAGUCCUCGGCGACGAGCGCCACGACAAUCGGUGGUUUUUUUACCCUCGUUCCUCGUCGUGCGUGUCCCGUCGCCCGAACGCGCUCUUGUGACCCUCACGCGUCGCCUCGGCGGCGCUCCCAACGCGACCCCAGGUCAGGCGGGACUACCCGCUGAGUUUAAGCAUAUCAAUAAGCGGAGGA
rnacentral:misc_RNA from 1 species